GUUGAAAGGUCAACUGGAGCAAAAUGGCGACCAUCAGAGGAAAGGUUUUGCUGAAGAACAUAAAAAGCAUCGUUGUACAGUUUUGUCCGUUUGAAUCUAAUGGAGUUCUUAGCUGUGGUUGGAAGUGAAAAAGUAAGAUCAACAAACAUGAACUGCGAGGUUAGGACAGAAGUAAAACAUGACGGCUCUGACCCCUUUGUUAACAUUACAUUCACGGAUGGAGAGAGGUUACUGAUGAAGGGC